CGAACGCUGGCGGCGUAGCCUAAUACAUGCAAGUAGAACGCUGAAGAGAGGAGCUUGCUCUUCUUGGAUGAGUUGCGAACGGGUGAGUAACGCGUAGGUAACCUGCCUUGUAGCGGGGGAUAACUAUUGGAAACGAUAGCUAAUACCGCAUAACAAUGGAUGACACAUGUCAUUUAUUUGAAAGGGGCAAUUGCUCCACUACAAGAUGGACCUGCGUUGUAUUAGCUAGUAGGUGAGGUAAUGGCUCACCUAGGCGACGAUACAUAGCCGACCUGAGAGGGUGAUCGGCCACACUGGGACUGAGACACGGCCCAGACUCCUACGGGAGGCAGCGAGUAGGGAAUCUUCGGCAAGUGGGGGCAACCCGUGACCGAGCAACGCCGCGUAGAGUGAAGAAGGUUUUUGGAUCGUAAAGCUCUGUUGUAAGUCAAGAACGGGUGUAGAGAGUAGGAAAGUUCACACUAUGACGGUAGCUUACCGAGAAACGGGACGGACUAACGUACGUGCCGAGCGAGCCGCGGUUAACG
rnacentral:rRNA from 1 species